CAUAAAGCACAUUGUUUUAUAGAACUGUAAUUAUACCAUAAUACUUUUUGUAUUGGGAAAUGUUGAGAAUUUAGAAAGAACAAUCCUAGGCAUUUCCUUUUGCUCUGUAUCCUUCUGUUUAGAAGUUUUCCCUGUGGUUUGUUCCUGGCAAUUAAACACUGUUCAAAUUCAGAGUCAGACUGCCCUGGCUCAAAUCAUGGCACCACGAUGUGUGAAACUUGACAAAGUCAAAGUUAUCACUAUAAUUUCACUCUCAGUCACUUGAAAUCCACUAAUUUCUUGAGCAGAAGAAAGGGAAGUGGAAUUACUGUAGAAAUUAUGCAUAAUUUUAUAUUAUCUCUGUAGCAGCCUGUUUAAAGUGAUCAUUGCUAGUACACGGUAUAGAAUUACAAACUUGUAAAUACUUCUCAAGAUUGCCACAUUAAAAAAAAAAAAAAGCAAGCAAAAAGAACUCUGUAGCCCUGUUUUUUUUUUUUUUUAAAUUUCCAACAGGAAAUUUGUUCUUGUUUCAAAAUGUGGGAACACCCAUUAUUCUCUGUUGGCCACAUGAAUGUCAUCCAUUUGUUUAUUGCAGCAGAAAAAAAGUGAAGAAUGGUUGAUACAAGGGCAAGCUGUUCCUUUUAGGUUACUUUAAAAAGUCAUGGAAUUAUUUCGGAUAUACAAAGGGAGCAUAAGGAAUACUCUAACCGAUAUGUAUGUAUACAGUGUCCAGUAUAAGAAUGAAAAUGUAAUGUAGUUAUUAAAACAUUGUGUAUGUGCUUCCACAAGCCUGUCCUCCUUUCUACCUUCCAGAAGUAACUUCUCUCUUGAAUUUGGUGUUCAUCAUUCUGGUGCAUGCUUUUACAAUUUUACAAAAUACACAUGCAUUCCCAAACAUAAAUAAUACUGUUUCACAACAUAAAUUGUAUUAUGGUACAUGUUUUAAAACAGGAUAUACAUUGUGUCUGUUGCAAGUCAGGUUCCAAGGGAAAUGGAACUCUGAGAAGAUUAAGGCCAGGCGCCAUAAGUGCCUCAUGCCUUGAUCCACCCGCCUUGGCCUCCCAAAAUGCUGGGAUUACGGGUAUGAGCUACCAUCAUACUUUUUAAAUAUGUCUUUAUUUCUUUAUUGUGUCUCAGUGUCUGGUAGUUUAAGUCUCCUUUUCUUUUUCUUCUUUAAAAUCAUCCCUACUCUCUGCAUUUUGCUUUUCCAUAGACAUUUUAGAGUUCUGCUCCAUGAAAAACCCUCCUUUGAUUGAGGUCAUGCAUUAACUAUAUAGAUUAGUUUGAAGAGUAAUGAUGUUCUUAUGGGAUAGAUGUUCUGUGUAUGUCUUCUUUGAUACCUAUAUUUAGGUACACAUCAUUUUUAUAACUUUUUCAAUGCCAGUAAAGACACUUCUUCAUCAACAAUUUAAUGACUGCAUGACCAUCCAUUACUUAGCUAGUCAGUAGUUUAUGCCCUGUUAACAUUUAAAUUAACAUAUUUCACAAUGCUUGUUUCGAACUUGCAUAUUUCCCAUCAUAAAAUUGUAUGUAAAUAUUCACCUGUUUUAUUCUAGUAGUGCUAGGAGUUGUAUAUAAUUAAGUGUUCGAGAUGUACUUGAGUGUAAAAUGUGAGAAAAAUAUCUUUUUCCCCACACAGCCAGUUAUUGAAUACUUAACCCUUUGGUCUGACAUUCACUUUUUGAUUUUGCCAUCAAGUAACCAUCCAUAGCGCCCAUACAUAGCAGGCACUCAAUAAAUGUUGGAAUAAAUGAAUUUGUUUUGAGUAUUUGUUUUGUUUUCAGAUGUUUUAUUAUUUUCCACGACACGUCUGUGGACAUGCCUGUCUAUUCUAGUUCUACUGCCAUGCUGUUUUAAUUAUCAGAGCUGUAUAAUAAAUUGUUGUGUGUGGUUGAGCAUCGUUAUCAUUAUUAUUUUUUUCAGAAUUUUUCUGGGCUACUUCUGCAUCAUUUUUCUCUUGGAUAAGCGAAAAUAAUUUGGUAACUUUCCUGUAAAACUACUAUAGUUUUGACUGACACUGUGUUAAUUUUCUUUCUUUCUUUUUUUUUUUUCCUUCGAGACAGAGUCUUGCUCUGUCACCCAGGCUGGAGUGCAGUAACCUAUCUUGGCUCACCACAAUCUCUGUCUCCCGGGUCCAAGCCAUUCUCCUUCCUACCAACUAGCUGGGAUUACAGGCGCCCUGCACCACGCCUGGCUAAUUUUUGUUUUAGUAGAGAUGGGGUUUUACCACGUUGGCCAGGCUGGUCUUGAACUUCUGACCUCAAGUGAUACGCCUGCCUCGGCCUCCCAAAGUGUUUGGGAUUACAGGCUUGAGCCACCAUGCCUGGCCUACACUGUGUUAAUUUUCUUAAAAAAAAAAAAAAAAAAAAAAA
rnacentral:lncRNA from 1 species